rnacentral:rRNA from 1 species
AUUGAACGCUGGCGGCAUGCCUAACACAUGCACGUCGAGCGAGCGGCGGACGGGUGAGUAAUGUCUGGGAAACUUCCUUAUGGAAGUGGAUAACUAUUGGAAACGGGAGCUAAUACCCCAUAUUAUCAUAACUGCCCAGAUGGGAUUAGCUGGUAGGUGUGGUAACGGCUCACCUAGGCGACCAUACCUAGCUGUUCUGAGAGGCUGACCAGCCAAACUGGAACUGAGACACGGGCCAGACUCCUACGGGAGGCAGCAGUGGGGAAUAUUGCACAAUGGGCGCAAGCCUGAUGCAGCAAGGCCGCGUGUGUGAAGAAGGCCUUCGGGUUGUAAAGCACUGUCAGCGGGGAGGCGUUACCCGAAGAGGAAGCACCGGCUAACUCCGUGCCAGCAGCCGCGGUAAUAC